CGAAAUUAUUCUAGUAAACAGAAAGACAAACAUAACCUGCAAGACUAUUGCAAGUACAGAUGGAAAUACUUCUAAAUAAUCCUUAAAAGGCACGAAAACCAACAAUCAACUUGAGAAGAACACAACUUUGUCGAGGCAUUCCAGAUGCACCAUUUUACUAAUAAGGAACACUAACCCUUUGCGUACCAGUGCCUGCGGCCAUAUCCUCCCAAAGUAG
rnacentral:misc_RNA from 1 species